rnacentral:rRNA from 1 species
CGCGUAGGCGGUUAUAAAAGUCGGAUGUGAAAUUCCGGGGCUCAACCCCGGAGCUGCAUUUGAAACUCUAUAGCUAGAGUUCAGUUAGGGUAAACGGAAUUCCACGUGUAGCGGUGAAAUGCGUAGAUAUGUGGAAGAACACCGGUGGUGAAGACGGUUUACUGGGCUGAUACUGACGCUGAGGCGCGAAAGCAUGGGGAGCAAACA